GUGACCCCAGCUGGGCCAAUGAGCGGCGGCGGGAGGUGAAAUCCGGUUCUAACCGGUCCGGGGCUCCCAGCGCUAUAAAAACUUUAUAAACCCCCCGGAGCCCUAGCAGUGUGAGGAGACGAGAUCGACCCCCGGACCGAGCAAGGCCCGCGCGCUGCUGCAUCCCUGCGUCCCGCUCGGACGUCCCGCCACCAUCGCCAUCAUGCCCAAGAGAAAGGCUGAAGGGGAUGCUAAAGGAGAUAAAGCCAAGGUGAAGGACGAACCACAGAGAAGAUCUGCCAGGUUAUCAGCUGUAAAAACCUGCUCCUCCAAAGCCAGAGCCCAAGCCUAAAAAGGCCCCUGCAAAGAAGGGAGAGAAGGUACCGAAAGGGAAAAAGGGGAAAGCUGAUGCUGGCAAAGAUGGGAAUAAUCCUGCAGAAAAUGGAGAUGCCAAAACAGACCAGGCACAGAAAGCUGAAGGUGCUGGAGAUGCCAAGUGAAGUGUGUGCAUUUUUGAUAACUGUGUAUUUCUGGUGACUGUACAGUUUGAAAUACUAUUUUUUAUCAAGUUUUAUAAAAAUGCAGAAUUUUGUUUUACUUUUUUUUUUUUUUUUUUUUUUUUU